AACGAACGCUGGCGGCAUGCCUAACACAUGCAAGUCGAACGAGACCUUCGGGUCUAGUGGCGCACGGGUGCGUAACGCGUGGGAACCUGCCCUUAGGUUCGGAAUAACUCCCCGAAAGGGGUGCUAAUACCGGAUAAUGUCUUCGGACCAAAGAUUUAUCGCCUUUGGAUGGGCCCGCGUUGGAUUAGCUAGUUGGUAGGGUAAAAGCCUACCAAGGCGACGAUCCAUAGCUGGUCUGAGAGGAUGAUCAGCCACACUGGGACUGAGACACGGCCCAGACUCCUACGGGGGGAAGGAGUGGGGAAAUUGGGACAAUGGGCAAAAGCCGGACCCAGCAAUCCCGGGGGAGGGAUGAAGGCUUUGGGGUUUAUAAGCUCUUUUACCAGGGAUGAUAAUGACAGGACGGGGAAAAUAAGCCCCGGCAAACCCCGU
rnacentral:rRNA from 1 species